UGCAUACGUCAUGCGCCAGACAAGCUGCAGGAGUGCGAGGCCGGCUACCCGUCUUUUUUGGAUGUAGCCCGUUUCUUGGGCUCCCGGCGUUCUUUUGUGUUCCGUCUGCAUUGCGGCACAGCACCGCUGCACUACUGGACUACAACAAGCUCGUUGCGUCGUCCUCAAUUCGAGUAGAACCCUUUUCGUAAGCCUCCAGGUUUCUGCCCUGUAGGUGAGUACUGUAGGUGAGUACAGCUAUUAUACACUUUUCUCUUGAGGGAUAAUGGCAACCUGCUGUUCAUGAUCUGAGAAUGCCUGCCAAACGCACCCCAGCCCAUUCUUAUUCUUCUAGUUAUUUCAGUCUCAUGAUCCGGAUCCGUGGUCACUACCUGCCCUAAGUAGAUGUAUUCCCUUACCACUUCCAGUGCCUCGCUACCUAUCGUAAACUGCUGUUCUCUUCCGAGACUGUUAAACAUUACUUUAGUUUUCUGCAGAUUAAUUUUCAGACCCACCCUUCUGCUUUGCCUCUCCAGGUCAGUGAGCAUGCAUUGCAAUUGGCCUCCUGAGUUACUGAGCAAGGCAAUAUCAUCAGCGAAUCGCAAGUUGCUAAGGUAUUCUCCAUCAACUUUUAUCCCCCAUUCUUCCCACUCCAGGUCUCUGAAUACCUCCCGUAAACAUGCGGUGAAUAGCAUUGGAGAGAUCGUAUCUCCCUUUCUUUAUUGGGAUUUUGUUGCUUUCUUUGUGGAGGACUACGGUGGCUGUCGAGCCGCUAUAGAUAUCUUCUAGUAUUUUUACAUAUGGCUCAUCUGCACCCUGAUUCCGUAAUGCCUCCAUGACUGCUGAGGUUUCGACUGAAUCAAACGCUUUCUCGUAAUCAAUGAAAGCUAUAUAUAUAAGGGUUGGUUAUAUUCUGCACAUUUUUCUAUCACCUGAUUGAUAGUGUGAAUACGGUCUAUUGUUGAGUAGCCAUUACGGAAUCCUGCCUGGUCCUUUGGUUGACAGAAGUCUAAGGUGUUCCUGAUUCUAUUUGCGAUUACCUUAGUAAAUACAUUGUAGGCAACGGACAGUAAGCUGAUCGGUCUAUAAUUUUUCAAGUCUUUGGCGUCCCCUUUCUUAUGGAUUAGGAUUAUGUUAGCGUUCUUCCAAGAUUCCGGUACGCUCGAGGUUAUGAGGAAUUGCGUAUACAGGGUGGCCAGUUUCUCUAGAACAAUCUGACCACCAUCCUUCAACAAAUCUGCUGUUACCUGAUCCUCCCCAGCUGCCUUUCCCCUUUGCAUAGCUCCUAAGGCUUUCUUUACUUCUUCUGGCGUUACCUGCGGGAUUUCGAAUUCCUCUAGGCUAUUCUCUCUUCCACGAUCGUCGUGGGUGCCACUGGUACUAUAUAAAUCUCUGUAGAACUCCUCAGCCACUUGAACUAUCUCAUCCAUAUUAGUAACUAUAUUGCCGGCUUUGUCUCUCAACGCACACAUCUGAUUCUUGCCUAUUCCUAGUUUCUUCUUCACUGUUUUUAGGCUUCCUCCGUUCCUGAGAGCCUGUUCAAUUCUAUCCAUAUUAUAGUUCCUGAUGUCCGCUGUCUUGCGCUUGUUGAUUAAAUUCGAAAGUUCUGCCAGUUCUAUUCCAGCUGUAGGGUUAGAGGCUUUCAUACAUUGGCGUUUCUUGAUCAGAUCUUUUGUCUCCUGCGAUAGCUUACUGGUUUCCUGUCUAACGGCGUUACCACCGACUUCUAUUGCGCACUCCUUAAUGAUGCCCAUGAGAUUGUCGUUCAUUGCUUCAACACUAAGGUCCUCUUCCUGAGUUAAAGCCGAAUACCUGUUCUGUAGCUUGAUCCGGAAUUCCUCUAGUUUCCCUCUUACAGCUAACUCAUUGAUUGGCUUCUUGUGUACCAGUUUCUUCCGUUCCCUCCUCAAGUCUAGGCUAAUUCGAGUUCUUACCAUCCUAUGGUCACUGCAGUGUACCUUGCCGAGCACGUCUACAUCUUGUAUGAUUCCAGGGUUCGCGCAGAGUAUGAAGUCGAUUUCAUUUCUAGUCUCACCAUUCGGGCUCCUCCACGUCCACUUUCGACUAACCCGCUUGCGGAAAAAGGUAUUCAUUAUCCGCAUAUUAUUCUGUUCUGCAAACUCUACUAAUAACUCUCCUCUGCUAUUCCUAGAGCCUAUGCCAUAUUCCCCCACUGACUUGUCUCCAGCCUGCUUCUUGCCUACCCUGGCAUUGAAGUCGCCCAUCAGUAUAGCGUAUUUUGUUUUUACUUUACCCAUCGCCGAUUCCACGUCUUCAUAAAAGCUUUCGACUUCCUGGUCAUCAUGACUGCAUGUAGGGGCAUAGACUUGUACCACCUUCAAUUUGUACCUCUUAUUAAGUUUCACAACAAAACCUGCCACCCUCUCGUUAAUGCUAUAGAAUUCUUGUAUGUUACCAGCUAUUUCCUUAUUAAUCAGGAAUCCGACUCCUAGUUCUCGUCUCUCCGCUAAGCCCCGGUAGCGCAGUACGUGCCCGCUUUUUAGCACUGUAUAUGCUUCUUUUGUCCUCCUAACCUCACUGAGCCCUAUUAUAUCCCAUUUACUACCCUCUAAUUCCUCCAAUAACACUGCUAGACUCGCCUCACUAGAUAACGUUCUAACGUUGAACGUUGCCAGGUUCAGAUUCCAAUGGCGGCCUGUCCGGAGCCAGGUAUUCUUAGCACCCUCUGCAGCGUCACAGAUCUGACCGCCGCCGUGGUCAGUUGCUUCGCGGCUGUUGGGGACUGAGGGCCGGGGUUUGAUUGUUGUAUUCAUAGUACUGCACCAGGGUGGCCAAUCCUGCUCUGGUGAGAGAGUGCGUUACCGGUUCUGGUCACCGGGAUCAGGCCGCACUCCAGGCCUGUUUGUGCAAUUUUUUCAACACACGGUUUUUUUUCAUGAUACAUGCUUGUAAUUUACUUUCUUUCAGCUGAUGGCAUCCGGUGGAGCUUCGUACGGCAACGACUGCUGCUUACCUGGUGCCACAACUUUGGAUGAAUGCAGAAGCCCGGAACAAGCAUUUAUAUAGGGCAAAAUAAACAUUUCAUCAUUUCAGAAGA